UGAGGAAUAUUGGUCAAUGGGCGAAAGCCUGAACCAGCCAUGCCGCGUGAAGGAAUAAGGCCCUAUGGGUCGUAAACUUCUUUUGUAUCGGAGCAAUAAGGGUCACGAGUGAUCCGAUGAGAUUACGAUACGAAUAAGCAUCGGCUAACUCCGUGCCAGCAGCCGCGGUAAUACGGAGGAUGCAAGCGUUAUCCGGAUUUAUUGGGUUUAAAGGUGCGUAGGCGGACGAUUAAGUCAGCGGUGAAAGCGUGUGGCUCAACCAUACCACUGCCGUUGAUACUGGUUGUCUUGAGUGUAAACGAGGUAGGCGGAAUGUGAUGUGUAGCGGUGAAAUGCUUAGAUAUGUCACAGAACCCCGAUUGCGAAGGCAGCUUACCAGGAUACAACUGACGCUGAGGCACGAAAGCGUGGGUAUCAAACA
rnacentral:rRNA from 1 species